rnacentral:lncRNA from 1 species
GGGGUCUGAGGAAGUAUAGACUCUAGAUAGGGUAGGGCAGGGUUCUUGGAGCUCAGUAGAUUUGCUGAAAGGUUGGUUUGCCUUUGUCCCCUUUAUCCAGAAUCCUUGGGAAGCUAGGAUGUGGGUACCAUCCUAAGAACUCAGAGUCCCCAAGAAGAGGGAGAAGUUCAGAGUUUAAAGAGAGCUGGGUAAUCUUGGGACAGAAGGCCAUCUUUCUGUGUUCCCUGCCUUCUGGGUCAGUGGUACGUGAGAUGGAGAUGGGGGAUUACAAGGAAGAAUACUCAGAGCUCCAAAGCAUCUUUUGCUGGUUUAGGGGUGAAAGACCAAGCCCAGAGAAAUGAGCCAUCUGUGAGAUCUCCACAGUCUAGGAUCCAGUGGGACACUGGUCCCAGAAGUACUCAGUGACUGACAGUGAUCCUUACACAGUGAUUUGCUUUGUCAUAGAGGAGUGGUCUGGAUGUUCUGAGAGCCAGGACAUUCCCUAGGAGAUCUCUGGGUUUCAAGAACCUUAGAACCAACUGGGGUUGGGUGGGAGUUUUGAAAGCUUGGUGUCCAGGCUACAUCCCAUUGUGAAUUAGAAUGUCUAAUAUGACCCUUCAGUGUCAGUAUUUUUAUAACUUAAAGUACACAUGAGUCAUGGUGAUUGGGUUAAAUCCAGGUUUUGCAUCUGUAGAGCUGAAAAAAAGAUAUUCUUUCUCAACAAGCUUCCAGGUGCCACUGGAGCCUGGGGCUGCUAGUCCACAGAACGGCUUUGAACAAUCAGAAUAAACCUGUAAACUGUAGCCUGGAGCCAGACCUGGUGGACCACCUGUUUUUGCACAACCCGUGACUUCAGAAUAGGUUUUAUAUUUUUAAAUGAUUGAAGAAGAAGGAGAGAAAAACUCAAAGGAAUAACAUUUUGUGAUUCGUGAAUAGUACUUUACAUUCAAAAUUUGUUGUCCAUAAAUAAAGUGUUAUUGGAACU